UACGAGGGGGGCAAGCGUUGUUCGGAAUCACUGGGCUUAAAGGGCGCGUAGGCGGGCCGAAAAGUCAGGGGUGAAAUCCUCCAGCCCAACUGGAGAAGCGCCUUUGGUACUGUCGGCCUCGAGGGGUGCAGGGGCAUGCGGAACUCAGGGUGGAGCGGUGAAAUGCGUAGAUAUCGGGAGGAACACCUGUGGCGAAGGCGGCCCCCUGGUUGGAUACUGACGCUGAUACGCGAAAGCGUGGGGAGCAAACAGG
rnacentral:rRNA from 1 species